rnacentral:miRNA from 17 species
GCAGCUGCAUGCACCACCACA